rnacentral:lncRNA from 1 species
AUGGUGAGCACAUUAGGGCAAUGGGGAGUUACUGAAGCAUUAGCAAGAGGGUGGCGAAAAUGCCCUCCUUUCUCUUUGUCUUACCACGUUCCUGAGGACCUCAGUUCAGUAAGCGCAAACGGGCGGGCGUGGCUGCGGAGAUGGAGACCAUCCACUUCCUGGUUUUCCGCUCAGCCUGCGGGAAAGCAACGAAUCUCCUGAGUUUCAGAGUGCUGAGACAGAGGACGAUGGGCUGGGCUUCAGUUCCCUCACCUGGAGAGUGACGAGAACACCAGUACAGAACUCCAGGGCUGUUGGGAAGAUGGAAUGAAAUAGUACAUGAAUGAAAUAGUACAUGUAAUGGGUCGCAUUCACAGUGCCUGGAACAUAACAAAUGCUCGUAAAGGUAGGUGUUAUCAUUAAGGAAAGCCAUGAAGGAGAAAGUCCCUAAAGCCCCCAGGGUUCCUUUCUGGGCCUUCACUGGUGACUCCCAAAAGGUUUGUUUUAAUGCCCCCGAUACAGUGUGGAUAUUUCUCCCCUCCAAAUCUCAUGUUGAAGUGUGAUCCCAGUGUUGGAGGCGGGGCCUGGUGGGAAGUGUUAGGUCAUGGGAGUGGGUCCCUCAUGAAUGGCUUGGUGCCCUCCUUGUGGUAAUGAGUGAGUUUUUGCUCUAUUAGUUAGAGUGAGAUCUGGUUGUAUAAAAGAGCCUGGCACCUCUUCCUCCCUCUCUUGCUCCCUCUCCUGCCAUGUGACCUGCCUGCUCCCCCUUUGCCUUCUGCCAUGAGUAAAAGCUUCCUGAGGCCUCAACAGAAGCUGAGCAGAUACCAGUGCCAUGCUUAUCCAGCCUGCAGAACCAUGAGCCAAAUAAACCUCUUUCUUUAUAAACUACCCAGUCUCAGGCAUUCCUAUAUAGCAAUGCAAAAUGGACUAAUACCACUCC